AGUAGUACCUCUGAUCUUCCCCUAACCAAGUGUCUUAGUAAUGCUGAUCAGAUGUGUUCAUAAACUCCAUGAAGCACACUGCUUCUAGAAAAAAAAGCCAUACUGCUAACCAAAACAAAAUAGUAUAACAGAUCCCAGAUUCACAAAAUCAGAAUGCAUAUUUGAAGACUAAAAAGAAAAACAGAGACAACAAUAAUAAUUGAUCUUUUCGUUAACCAAAGUCCUCAGAAAAACCUUCCACACAGCAAAAUCCUUCCCAGAAGCCAAAACUUCCUCUCCAAACAAAGCCACCAAAAUCCCCUCAAGAAGGAAAAAAAAAGAGCCCGAAAAUAGGAACUGCCAAUUCUGGCAGUUAUAACCGAAAAAUAUACAAACAGUGAGAAAAAAGAAUAAAUUUAUUGGCAGUGGGAACCCAUCAAUUAAUCAGUGGUUACAUUAAUAGUAUUGGAUAUGGGCACCAAGUGUAGGAAAUGUUUUUUGUUUGCUAUAUUUUGUGUCUAUGUGGAUGUUGUUAAGGUGCUCCCCCAUAGGAUUACCUUGUCUUUUAAAUUGGGUAAAUUAAUUCUACAGAUAGUUUUAAAUAAUUUAAUGGACUGUGCCAUUCUUGCCCCAAAGUGGGACAUUCAAAGGCUAAAUGCCCCAGCAACAAGCAGAAGCAACCUUUCUAGAGAAAUAGAACAUGAUUCUCCACCUCCCAAUGGUGAAAUUGAUGGUUCCUUAACAAAGGGAGCUAAUUAUGCUUGCAAGGUCCUUUUUGAGGAAGUCCUGAAUGUGGAUUGCAGGAGGAAGGAAUCUGAAUUGAGGGAUUCCUAAUUUUUUACCCCUUGGAUUGAGCAGUGGUCAGGAGAAAGGACUCCUUGCGGUCCAUCUGAUUCAAAUGAUAAAAAAGGGUAUUCAGCCAAGAAAGAUUUCUGCACUAAGGAUAAGAUGAUUGAGGAUGUCCAAAGCUCCUUAGUGUUCUUUGGUUAUAAGCCACCCUGAUUCAGUUGUUCUCCCUUGGUAUGUGAUGGUUUUCUCAUUUGGUCUUUCCUGUUUGUUGUUUUAAAGCAGCUUUAGUGCUGCCAGUCCUAUGUUGAUUGUUUCUUGUUUUUUUUGUCUGGGCAUAGUUGUCUUAUCUUUCUCCUUCUGUAGAAGGGUUUGGGCUCUUUCACAAAUCCACCUUUACCAUUGAUCAAGAACUUAAUUAGAUAAGUGCAAUGCUUUAAACAAUCACAUUAAAACAUUGAAUCCUACUUUCUAAUUAUUGUCAAUUUACAAGGUAUAUGUAUCUCAUAUUUCUAAUAGAUGUCUGUGUACGCUGAGAAUAUCAAUAAAUCUUAUGUAGCAGAUAUUUUACUUAAUAUAUAAGGCUGUGAACCAGAUGGUAGGCAUUCUGCCAGUGCAAUGUUGGAAAAUAAGAGUGCAGACUUGAAGCACGCAGCUUCUGCUAAAUGAUAUUUAUCCUCAUCCAACCAUGUGUAUGCUAGCUCAAAGUGAUACAGUUUUGAAGAAUAACUCUCGUCAAAGGCAAUCAAAUCUUAAGAUUAUGUAUUAUGUAUAAGAACUCAAAGAGCUUAUAGAAGCUAAUCCCCUGUUUUGGGAGAAGUUGCAAUUUCCUGGGCAUAACAUGUCUUGAUUGCGGACCUUUGUGAAUUAAAGGUCGACUUUAAAUUUAGGUGGUUAGCUUUUCAGUGUUGUUCAGUCUGGCAAUACCAGCAUACAGAAAAUUUGUUUUUCUUCCUUUUAAUUUCUUAUGUAACUUUCAUGAAAGCAAUACACUUGCACAUUAUUGACCUUCAUUUAAUCGGUGUGCCUUUUCAGUGUCUCUCAUACUUUGGCACUGUAGGCAUCUUACAGUAUUUGUAACUUAAUUUUCUUGGUUUGUUUUUCUUGGUCAAUUUUUGUAGUUUGAAGUGGUAGCAUCAGCUCUGCCAAAAUCCAUGGCCUAAUCCUGACAUAAACCCGUUUUUUUGUUGAUUAUAAUUGUGGACCAAAAAUGGAGCAUGCCCUCUGCAACCUGCAAAUAAUUUUAUGAUUGCAAUUUCUAAAACAACACCCGUCUUCCCACCUACAACCUGUCAUACAGUUUGUGAAGAUGCACCCAUUUUUAGUACUUUUGAGAAUGAUGUUUCUCUUAACUUCUAAUCCAUUUAGUGCCUUGCAGGUUGUAAGUCUUCAUGAUGUAUAUAAUCUGAUAUCCUCUUGUGGAUGUUGAUCACCAGCCAUUCCAUUCAACGCCUAGCAAUCCAUUUAGUGCCUUGCAGGUUGGAUGGCUCAUCCUGUGCGUGGCUCGUCUUGGUCUCUCUGUAGGACCUGUGGGACUUAGUACUGGAACAAACGCAGCUGCUCUUGUAAAGCAUCCAAGGACCCGUCUAAUAAAUGCCCUCCUAGAAGGUUAUCAAUCCAGGUAUUAUCAGCAUCUCUUAAAACGAGCAAGGCCAAGUGUCCAGCCAGGCAAGGAGUUAUCAUGGUACAAAGUAUCUUCAAUGCCUGUAUUCACAAAAAAAUCUUUUUUCAGAAUGAGUUUUCAACAUGAAACAUAUUGAGGGCCAGGUCCUGAGAGGUGACUGGGAUGAGGUUGAGAGAUACCUUCUGGUUUCACCAAAGUUGAUGACAAUUAGAAUUACGUGAAGAUAUUUUUUGAAAUCACAUUCGUAAAAUUCGUUCACUUUGUCUUAAGUUUUAUAUACUGAAAUGACUUUUCCCAUUAAAUAUGUACUGGCAAACUUGUUGGAUUUAUGGGACAAUAAAAACACAUGUACAGUCUGAGCUAAAUAUUUGCAAAUUGAGUAUCUUAAGUGCAGAGAUAUUCCAUGGGAGGCAAGCUUAGCAGAAAAUACUGUGUAGUGUACCUCCUUUUUGCAGAGAAUUCAAAAGGCUUUAAUCCUUUGAGUAUGUAUAGAAUAUAGAUUAGA